AGUUCACUAGCUGACUUUGUUUGAGUGUCUGUCUAGCCACUUGUGGGGCAGCUAGAUGGUACAGUAGAUAGAGCCCUGUGCUUGGAAUCAGGAAGACUCAUCUUCCUGAAUUCAUAUCUGGCCUUAGACA